GUACUUCCUUCGGCAGUAUAUUUACUAAAAUUUGAAUGACACAGAGAAGAUUAGCAUGGCCCCUGCGCAAGGAAGGCAUGCAAAAUCGUUAAGCGCUCCGCAUUUUU
rnacentral:snRNA from 1 species